GCGCCCGUGGCCUAGCGGUUAGCGCUGCUGUUUUCCAAAUUUUAGUCGCGGGUUCGAACCCCACCAGGGCCA